rnacentral:tRNA from 1 species
GGAGCUGUAGCUCAUUGGUAAAGAGCUUGCCUUGAAUGCAUGAGGCACUGUGUUCAAUCCUCAGCACCA